rnacentral:rRNA from 1 species
GACGAACGCUGGCGGCGUGCUUAACACAUGCAAGUCGAGCGAGCGGCGGACGGGUGAGUAAUGUAUGGGGACUGCCCGAUAGAGGGGGAUGACUGCUGGAAACGGUGGCUAAUACCGCCUACUUUGGUAUAUCCCCUAUGGGUUUAGCUAGUUGGUGGGGUAAAGGCUCACCUAGGCGAGGAUCUCUAGCUGGUCUGAGAGGACGAUCAGCCAAACUGGGACUGAGACACGGCCCAGACUCCUACGGAGGCAGCAGUGGGGAAUAUUGCACAAUGGGCGCAAGCCUGAUGCAGCCAUGCCGCGUGUAUGAAGAAGGCCUUAGGGUUGUAAAGUACUUUCAGCGGGGAGGCGUUACCCGCAGAAGAAGCACCGGCUAACUCCGUGCCAGCAGCCGCGGUAAUUC